UACGUAGGGUGCGAGCGUUGUCCGGAAUUAUUGGGCGUAAAGGGCUCGUAGGCGGUUUGUCACGUCAGGAGUGAAAAACUCGGGGCUCAACCCCGAGCCUGCUUCUGAUACGGGCAGGCUAGAGUUCGGUAGGGGAGACUGGAAUUCCUGGUGUAGCGGUGAAAUGCGCAGAUAUCAGGAGGAACACCGGUGGCGAAGGCGGGUCUCUGGGCCGAUACUGACGCUGAGGAGCGAAAGCAUGGGAGCGAACAGG
rnacentral:rRNA from 1 species